GACGUAGGGGGCGAGCGUUGUCCGGAUUUAUUGGGCGUAAAGCGCGCGUAGGCGGCUGCGCAAGUCGGUUGUGAAACCCCGGGGCUCAACCCCGGAACUGCAUCCGAUACUGCGUGGCUAGAGGUAGGUAGGGGAGAUCGGAAUUCCUGGUGUAGCGGUGAAAUGCGCAGAUAUCAGGAGGAACACCUGUGGCGAAAGCGGCGCACUGGACCACAUCUGACGCUGAGGCGCGAAAGCUAGGGGAGCAAACAGG
rnacentral:rRNA from 1 species